AGGGGUGUGGGUUCAACCCCUGAUUGGGGAGAUAGGAUCCCACAUGCCUUUACACCAAAACAUAAAAACAGAAGCAAUAUUGUAACAAAUUCAAUAGACUUUAAACAUGGUCUACAUCAAAAAACAUCUUAAAUAACUUUUUGCGCCAGGCACCUAAAAUGAGAUGCAUCAUCUUAAUUUUAAUCCUCACACCUACCUUAUGUUCUAGCACCCUAUUUAUAGAUAAACUGAGGCUGGGAAAGGUCAGGAAGCAGGCCCCAGGUGCACAGCCAGAGUGGAACUAAUGCCUGCUUGAUUUCAGAGGCCUGUGUCUGGAUUAUACCAUACAACUAGUCCUUCAGUGAUUUCUUUGUAAUCAGUUGCUUCUAACACCUUGACCGUAUACAGACCUAUCCUAUUUACAUGAUUACUGUAAUUAGAAAAGCUUUUUAAACUAUUUAAAAUGUCUUGUGAGAAAUAACUCCUUUUCAUGUUGCUGAAGAUCUAACUUCAUCGUGUUGAACCACAGCAAAGAUUAUCACGACAGCGACAAGCGGGGACUCUGCUGAGCAGGGUCUGUGGCCUGGGAGUGGGUGUCCCUUACGAGUAUCAACCUCAGGGUCUGGAUACGUUUUUCGGAGCCAAGAACAGGUUGCCUUCUUCCUCGUAUUGUAGUCAGUGUCGUCCCACUUCGUUGAUUCCUGCCCAAGACGAGUGUUUUUGUGGCGUUUGGGCCUAGUGUCCAAACUCUUCAGGUGUAAACUUAGCCCUCUUCGGCCCAGUGUUUAGACAGUGGGGGCUGAAGGAAAGGCCCCUGAGCCGGGGUGCUUAGACUCUCGGGCCCGUGGGUGUUUCAUUUUGAAAGUCAAAAUGCACCGUCAGGAAAGCUCCUCUUUUCUCCCCAGCUUCUCCUCUCCUGCCGGUAGCCAGGUGAAAAGGAAAUGCCGACCCACGUGGUAAAGUCACCAUGGAGAAUCUCACACUAUUUCGUUUAAACAAACACAUCAUUUCAGUGGCUUCUAUUUGAGGUACAAAAUUUUAUUUUAAUUAGUCCAUUAAAACAUUGUCUGCAUUUUGCCUCUGACACUGAUUAGUUAACCUGUUUGGAAUUUAGAGAACAGUGGUCACAAGGGAUCCAUCUGGGAAAGGAAUCACCCCGCCCCCUCCCACAGCUCAGGACCGUCUCCCUCUCCAGUUUUCCGCUAUCCGACUGGAUGAGAAGUUUUUUUUUUACUUUGGUUAUAAUAGGCGCCUACGUGGAGAAGACAGUGUAAAAUUAGAAAGCUGAUUUAGGUUAUGUUCUCCGAAUUUUUUUUUUUUUUUCCUUGCUCAAACAAAACUCCCAGAAACCAGAAUGAAUAGCAUGAAGAUUAUGGGAUAAUAUGAAAGAAAAAAAUGAUCUUUCUCAACUCUCUCUUCUUUUCAGAGCCCAGUUAGGCUUCUUGUUCGGUUGGGCCUUGGCCAUGAAUAGGUCGUCCUGUGUAGUGGGUGGUUUGCUGUCGGUUCUCUUUUCCAUCCUCCAGCUGUGAAAGGCAGGAAGUGAUUUUUACACAGACACAGCACCCCCUGUGUCAGGGAGAAAAGAAGUCCCAGUUGCUGCAGGCAGCAGGCUUUCACCGGGGAGGAGGUGGCCCCCGCCCAGGCAGCAGGCUUUCACCGGGGAGGAGGUGGCCCCUGCGGGCUUAGCUCUGGCUGAUGCGGAUCAAGCAGUUGACCAGGUCUAUCCGUGAGCACAGGUAGAGCGCAUAGGCCAGCUUUCCCACGGUGGCCCCCUUGCUGCCUGCCCGCAUCAGCCACUUUUGGAGCAUCUGGUAAACCUUUUCUUUCAGUCCAUCUCGCUCAUAGUCGUGGUCAAUUUCAUCGAUCUGAGAUUCAGAGAAACCCAGCUUACGGGCGCAGUUUUUCCAGUGUCUCCCCAGAUUCUCCCUGACCGGGUCCAGGUGUUUAUCAGUCAGACUAGUGGUAUUAUCUGCCGAACAGAAAAGAGGAGAAGGCAUUGAGCUGUGGCCAGGUGAACAUCUGGCUUCAAACACCUGUGUAAAGCAGAGAGUACCCGGAGUCAGUAAGAAAGGUUAACUUCCCCGCGCUCUGGCUGUCGGCUCCCUGGAUGACCCUCAGCUGUCCACCAGCCCACGCGAGGACCUGCUUUCUCCUGGAAGUGGCCCCCUUGGCUGCUAGGCUGUUCCGUACCAGCUGAGCCACAGCUCCUGUUUACACUUUCCUGACGUCAAGGGGGAAAACACCAUUUGUGUUCCUUUUGGGCCUUUUCUGGUUACAUCUGGCCAGAGUUAAGGUCACUCAACUCAGGAUACCUUCCCCCAGCAGUGUGCCUUCCUCUUACUUGGUCCAGGACACUGAGACCACCGUAUGGAAACUCUUUGAUUGUACUGUCUUUUCACAGGUGCAAUAUUUCUGGGCUCAUCAUUCCCCUGCCCCACUCAGUCCUCCUUUCUCCUAGAGCCGUAACCUCUCCCUCCCUACUGGUUCCUUCCUCUCAGGCCUUCGUAAAAAGAAUAAAAUGAAGCAAACAGAAGUAUAUAACCACCACACCACCACAAACAAGCCAUAUUCCGUGAUGUUCAGUAAGCGGAAUAAUAGACACCUCAUCCCCCCGCAGAACACCCAUUCUUUCCUCGGCUCCCGCACUGCAGCUCUGACCAUCACUGCCAGGUGUCAGCCUCCCGGCCAGAGUCUCAGUGCUUCACCAGGAGAGGGACCCUGGGCUCCAGCAGGUUCUCAAAGGUACCCUGUCACCCCAAACCUUAGGAACCUCUGCUCUAGUGCAUUAAAGACUGGCUUUGAAAGGGUUAGAUGGGGCAACCCACUCCAGUAUUCUUGCCUGGAAAAUCCCAUGGACGGAGGAGCCUGGCAGGCUAUAGUCCAUGGGGUCGCAGAGUCGCACACGACUGAGCGACUUCACUUUCACUUUGGCCAACUAUGGCCUGUGAGCCACAUGUGGCCCACUGCUUGUCUUAAACAAAGUUUUAUUAGAAUGUGGCCAUACCCAUCCGUGCACCUACUGCCUGAGGCUACUGGUGUGCUGCGGGGUCAGCUAUGCUGUGUGCUCUGCUCAGUUGCUCAGUCCUGUCUGGCUCUGCGGCCCCAGGACUGCAGCCCACCAGGCUCCUCUGUCCAUGGGGAUUCUCCGGGGAAGAAGACUGGAGUGGGUUGCCAUGCCCUCCUCCAGGGGAUCUUCCCGACCCAGGGACCUGGCCCAGGUCUCCCACACUGCAGGCGGGUUCUUUAUCACCUGAGCCACCAGGGAGGCCCACAUGGAAGUGGUGUCAACUGAGGAGCUACAACAGAGAUGGCAGGGCCAGCGAAGCUGAAAACAUUUACUCUCUGGCCCUUGAUUAAAAAAAGGACGCCAAUCCUGGGGUUAAUUAGGAAGCUGGGUUCUUAAAUCACACCGUUUUUCCCAGGUCGUGUUUUGGGAUUAAUGUUAUGAGGCUGUAUAGUGGAACCCCAUGAGCGAAAGCCCUCUAAUUUUUAUUAUGCAAGUGCAGCUGAGGGCAUAGUCUUCUGUCUUUUACGGAAUCCCUUUUGAUGAGGACCUGAUGAGCUCCUGGUUCUGGGUGGUCAUAUUGGUGAUGAUGAUGUGUUUAACACUUUUCUAGAUCUUACUAUGGGCCAGACAGUGCAUAAGCGCUUUAUUUGCAUUGACUCAUUUUACUUUCACAGCAAACCCCGUGAACUAGAUAUUCUAAUUAUGUCCUCGGUACACAUAAAUAAGUUACAAAGCACUUCUAUGGAAAUUACAUGAAGAGCAAUAGGGCAUCUUCAGGGAGAGUAAUCAGAGAAAUAAUUAGGUGAGAAGGUUCAAGGUUGCUGUAGGAUGAGUCCUUCAAGGGCAUCUUACCAAAGAUAGCUUGGUACUUAGAAGCCGGCUCUUCUUUCAAGUUCAUGUACGUGCUGUCGAGCACCGAUGAACUCAUUCCACCAAUCUCCAUGUAAUUACUGUCACCAAUCUGAAUGCCAGAACUGCUGUGUAUGGUAUAUUUUGAAGACUCAUCUAAUUAGAAAGAAACACACAGAGAUUAGUAGUAUAUCUAGACUGAAAGGAAGAGAAAAAAGUACAGCCUGGUAAAGGGGCAGGACUCUACUCCAAAUACUUAAGUUAAAGUAUUUAUCCUACGCCACCACUUGAAAUUUUCUUCUUUAAAAGUGGGCUGAAUCGUCUCACAUGCAUUAGGUUGGAAACCAUCAAAAACACAGAGGCCACCAGUGUCAGCAAGGGUGUGGGGAAACGAACCUCUUUGUGCGGCGACUGGGAAUGUAAAAAGAUGCAGCCACCGUGGCAACCAGUGGUGGUUCC